rnacentral:misc_RNA from 1 species
GAUGAAGAACGUAGCGAAAUGCGAUACGUAAUGUGAAUUGCAGAAUUCAGUGAAUCAUCGAGUCUUUGAACGCACAUUGCGCCCCCUGGUAUUCCGGGGGGCAUGCCUGUCCGAGCGUCAUUGCUGCCCUCAAGCACGGCUUGUGUGUUGGGCCUCCGUCCUCCUCCCGGGGGACGGGCCCGAAAGGCAGCGGCGGCACCGCGUCCGGUCCUCGAGCGUAUGGGGCUUCGUCACCCGCUCUUGUAGGCCCGGCCGGCGCUUGCCGACACAUCAAUCUUUUUUCCAGGUUGACCUCAGAUCAGGUAGGGAUAUCCGCUGAACUUAAGCAUAUCAAUAAGCGGAGGA